UGGAUGAGUGGCGAACGGGUGAGUAACACGUGAGUAACCUGCCCCUUCUUUGGGAUAACGCCCGGAAACGGGUGCUAAUACUGGAUAUUCACUGAUCUUCGCAUGGGGGUUGGUGGAAAGGUUUUUUCUGGUGGGGGAUGGGCUCGCGGCCUAUCAGCUUGUUGGUGGGGUGAUGGCCUACCAAGGCUUUGACGGGUAGCCGGCCUGAGAGGGUGACCGGUCACAUUGGGACUGAGAUACGGCCCAG
rnacentral:rRNA from 1 species